UUUGUAAUCCAUGUUAUAUGAAUGAAAAUGUUAUAUUUUUGCCGUUUCACACACUUGUAUUCAUCAUUUUGGUUGGUUUUGUUAUUCUGAAAUUGAAGUGAUGUUCAUCUGACGAUGAAUGAGAAUCUGUGAUGGAGACAAUAUCAGAGGUGGAUAAAUUUUGCGAAAGUUAUGCAAAAAGUAAACUUCUUAACAAAUAUGUUGUUGAGAAUAACAAGCUGAAAGAUAUGACGGUUGUUACUGAACCUGACCAUGAUGAGUGAUUUGAGAAAGAAACUGGUUGACUUUAAGGAAAGUGUUGUUUUGAAGGAAAAUGUUGAAGAGGUGAACAAAAUAGUCAAGGGUGAAGUUAUGAAGACGAAGGAAGUUGUUGAUAGUGGGAAUCUAUGCAAUACUCAAUAUGUUUCGGAGAACAUGAUAAUUAAUCCCAAAAGGAAAGCAAACAAUGUCUUGGCCUAAACUGCUGGAGAUAAAAAUGUUUGAUCUUGAAGUUGAGAAGACUUACAACUGUAUCAUUCAUACUAAUAAAAGGAACAAUGCUAGAAAGUUCAUUGACAGUGGUUGCUAUGAAUUCGCCAAAACAAAGAAGUCUUGUAAGGGGGAUGUGUUGGCAUUUAAGAUCUACCGCUUUUCAAGAAUCAUUUAUGUUCGAUCGAGGAAAAGUUGAUGUCUAG